UUGAGAAAAUGUGGUCAAGGUAGUUCAUCUCUCCCAGACACAAACUGUUUCUUGCCCAGAGCGGAAUUUCUCAAUUAUGCUUCCUGUCAUCAUCGGCUUCUUGUCUGGGCUCAUCAACAUUUCAGCCAAGUUACUCUGCUGUGAAGUCACUGGAAAGAGCAGACCCCACACCACGCUGCUCUUCUCAGAGCCGUGAA
rfam:Sorex araneus cont1.656190, whole genome shotgun sequence.